AGUGAACGCUGGCGGUAGGCCUAACACAUGCAAGUCGAACGGCAGCACAGUAAGAGCUUGCUCUUACGGGUGGCGAGUGGCGGACGGGGGAGGAAUACAUCGGAAUCUACUUUUUCGUGGGGGAUAACGUAGGGAAACUUACGCUAAUACCGCAUACGACCUACGGGUGAAAGCAGGGGAUCUUCGGACCUUGCGCGAUUGAAUGAGCCGAUGUCGGAUUAGCUAGUUGGCGGGGUAAAGGCCCACCAAGGCGACGAUCCGUAGCUGGUCUGAGAGGAUGAUCAGCCACAAUGGAACUGAGACACGGUCCAGACUCCUACGGGAGGCAGCAGUGGGGAAUAUUGGACAAUGGGCGCAAGCCUGAUCCAGCUAUACCGCGUGGGUGAAGAAGGCCUUCGGGUUGUAAAGCCCUUUUGUUGGGAAAGAAAAGCAGCAGGUUAAUACCCCGCUGUUCUGACGGUACCCAAAGAAUAAGCACCGGCUAACUUCGUG
rnacentral:rRNA from 1 species